CACGUAGGGCGCAAGCGUUGUCCGGAAUUAUUGGGCGUAAAGAGCUCGUAGGCGGUCUGUUGCGUCCGCUGUGAAAACUCGGGGCUUAACCCCGAGCCUGCAGUGGAUACGGGCAGACUAGAGGUAGGUAGGGGAGAAUGGAAUUCCCGGUGUAGAGGUGAAAUUCGUAGAUAUCGGGAGGAACACCAGUGGCGAAGGCGGCGAUCUGGAUCAACACUGACGCUGAGGCACGAAAGCGUGGGGAGCAAACAGG
rnacentral:rRNA from 1 species